AGCCAGUGAUGACAAACUAAAUAACUUUUCUGACACUGCACUCGCAGCUCCUGAUUCUAACUCUGAUCUGAGGCUC